AGUUUGUAUAAUAUUUAUUUUUUUUUGUUUUUUCCUUUAAAGCAGCAAAUACCUGUACUGCAUUUUGAGAUCUUUGAUGCACUACUUAUUAUCCAAACCAUGGCCUGCUUUUUUCCUAACAUACAAACUUCUAAAUUAUGGCAGAGGAAUCAAGAACACAUGGUUAUCACAGAGUUUACUACAAGGCACUCUGCUAUUCAGCUGAGCUGCUCUUCCUCGAAAUGGCUCUUUGUAUCUCCACUAGACUGACAGCUCUGAUGGAAGAUGUGUCUUGGCUGGAGGGGACGGUCUGCUGCUGGACAGGUCACUUGAUGGCUAUUCAGGUCUGUUACUCCCAGACCGGGACAGGCAAGUUGCUUAGCUACUAUGUCUUCUCUAAGUGUAGCGUCUCUGCUGGACCAAUUGGUCUGUGAGUCACCUGGUCCUGCUCUUCAAUGGGCACCUGCUGUACUUUUUUUUUCAUCUUUAGCCACUGGGUGGCCCAGGUGUAUUGCAUUGUCAUUAGCUGGAGUCUUAUUUUCCAUUAGACACUCAACUUAGAAAUGACAGUCUUUUCCUUGAAUCCCUUGGCUCAGCUCUUGAGAUGGUUAAUCACCAACAGUGAGACGAGAAAAGGCUUCCCUCACCCUUCAAUUUUUCCUCCAUGUUGCCUUAAGAGUUUGACUUCAGUACUGACAUCUUCACCUCCCCUACUCCUUUGAGAAUCAUACACAUAAGAGAGACUAAGGACAAAGGUAUGAAUGUAUUCUAGAUCCUGUCCCACUAACCCCUUCAUAUAUAUUAAGUUAUUCAUGCCUGAGGGGAAGAAUGUCUAUUUUCCAUUUUAAGACUUUCUCUUUUGCCUUUUAGCUUCCCUUUAUUUUAGCAGUGGUAGACCUUCAGUUUUUGUUGAAAUUUCACAGGAAUACCCUCCUCACAUAAGCAAGGAACAACUCCAAAGAAGAACUGGAAUAAAAGAUGUCACUAAAGAACUAUAAAGAUGAGC
rnacentral:lncRNA from 1 species